CAGUGACUGAAUCCAUUUGAGCCACACUAGACUCUAAAGCUGCAGGAUUGUGUGUGUUAGUCAGCCAUUAGAGUGGUGAAUUAGAGGAUAACUUCAUAGACGAUCUUUCUGUUGGCUUGGCAAGUGGACAGGGACAUCCAUGGUAACCGAUUUAUUGGCAUCAUUGCAAGACAAUUUCAGUCAAUACAAAAUUUAUGGAUUUGGGGGAAUAGGUUCCAUCCUGGAAACAACUUAUUCACCUAAGGAUUUCCCUUUGGAAACUGAGCAGAAUAUUAAUAGCCCACCAACAAUUGAAUCAAGCGUUGUUGAGAACUACCCCUUUAAAAAAGUACAUGAACACAAGAAGAAACACUGGGGUUAUGGAGGAAUAGCUCUUAUGGUUGGUGGAGGAAUUCUGUUGGUAAGCUGUGUGGUGCUCCUACUUGCUGUCUGCAUUAAUUGAGCUCAUUCACAAAAUCACAAAAGCUUGGAGAGCUAUGAAAGUCCAUGGUUAACCAUAUUGGCACAGUGAUUGAAUCCAUUUGAGCUGCAUCUAAAACUGCAGGAUUGGGUAUGAUAUCAACCACCAAAGUGGUGAAUUAGAAGAGAGUCAACCACCAGAGUGGUGAAUU